AUUUAUCAGCUGUGACAUUAGAUAAUGCAUCGUAAAGACUUGACUCCAAUAUCCAAUUGCGACAAUAAUUAAUUGUCGACAGGUUUAUUUUCUUAUAGACAGUAGGUUUACUACUGUUGUUGUUGAUUACGUCUGCUUGGUGGAACAUAUGCUCCCUUAGAAGGAGCAAGGGUCUCACGAGGAGGAACAGAACCACGAGAGUAGCCACCACGAGAAUACCUUGGAGAGUCUCGUGA